AAAAAAAAAAAAUUACAUAUCACAAAUUGGAUCGGAGCAUAACUUUCGGUUCACUUUCAGUUUCAGUUUCAGUUUCAGUUUCAAUUUCAGUUUCUUCUUCGGGGUUGAAAAACUUCAUCAUGGUAGGAUUCACAGAACUGAACCCUCCAUCAACCAAAAGAUUAAGUCCACUCACAUAAUUAGCUUCAUCACUGGCCAGAUACAGCGCAGCCUUCGCCACUCCAUCUGCCCUGAGAAUCUGCCCUUUGAGAUUCCCAAUUUCACUCAGUGCUUGCUCUGCAACAGCUAGUUCAUCUUCUCCCAAAACUGUUCCUCCAAUGGCGGUCACCACUCCAAAAGGUGAAACACAGUUCACUCUUAUCCCAUGUUUCCCUAAUUCAGCAGCCAGAUUCUUCACCAGCCCCCAUAUCCCAUGUUUUGUUACGGCAUAAGCAUGAGUUGAAAGCCCUCCAAUUGCUGUACAAGCACUUGAUGUGAACAAUAUGCAGCCAUGGCGCUGAGGAACCAUCACUCUCGCUGCAUGUUUAGCUCCGAGGAAAGCACCGACCAAGUUGACGCUGAUUAGCCGAUCCAGCUCUGGUUUUGUUGUGUCCAAAAUGCUCCCAAAAGGGCGAUCUAUGAUUCCGGCGUUGUUGAACAUUACAUCGAGCUUACCAUAUUUGGCGACAGUGGUGUCCACAAGCUUGCUGAUUUCAUCUUCGUUUCUAACAUCGCAGUGGAAGUAGAAAACGUUUUUACCACCAAGCUUAUUGACGAUGUCUCGGCCUAGGUUGUCUUGGAUGUCUGCAAUCACAACCUUGGCUCCAUUUUCAUGAAAAAGUUGAACUGUAGUUGCUCCGAUGCCGCUUGCUCCACCGGUUAUAAUUGCCACUUUCCCUGCUAACCUGAAAUUGGGACGCCAAAACAAAAAGUGAAACAAGUAGAGAAAAAGUUUCACCACCAGUGAAUCCUUGUAAUUAUUACUCAUACGGAUACAACUUUAUCAAAACUCUGUGAUAAAAGAACAAACAAGAGAAUGGAAAAAAACAUUUUGGUUACCUUUGAUAAGGAUAGGGGGCUACUUGGGAUUUCACAUUCAUCUUUUCCAUGAAAAUAUAUCAGAAAUUUCUAAGAAGCAAAGAGAAAUUGGAGGUUUCGCCUCCUCCUUUUGUGCUUCCUUCUUAGUCUUGUGUUCUGGGAUUUAUAGAAGAGCAGAAGUAAAAGAAGUUAAUGUAGGUAGUUGAUAUGCAAAAUUCUUACCUGUAUCUAUAAAUAUUCAACUAAUUGUAAGCCGUCAGUAUAACGAGUCUUACCAUGAUUUUAACAUGUAGACAUGAAAUGUUUUAAUUGAUUGAAUAUGUACAGAUGUGAAAUUUUUUUUUUUUUUAUCUUCUCUCUCCUCCCUCUCCCUUUCUAGUUUUCUAUAUUAGUAAACUUGUCAAACUAUGAAGCCAAGCAGGAUACUGUUAAAGGGUAGUUAGUUAGAUUUACUGAACUGUCCAUUUGACGAUUUUUUUUUCUCAAUUUAAGUGUCUAUUUAUAAGAAUAUAAAAAAAUAUUAAUGUAAUUUUAUCAAUUUUUAUUUUAAAAUACGCAUAUAUUAAAAUAAUAUUUAUAAUAUUGUGUUGUUAAUAAAUAACAGUAAUUUUUAGACUAUAAUAUUAAUAUAAAAAUUAUAUCAUAAUAUAUUAAUAAAUUGAUAUUUAAAUUUUAAAAUAAAAAUAAAUAAACUUAUAAAAUAUUUUUUAAUUAAUAAUUAUAUUUUAUUUAUUACAUAAAUAUUUUUUUCGACAUUUACUUAAAUUGAAUUAUAAAUUUUAAAAUAAAAAUAAAUAAAAUCACAUACUAUUUUUUUUAUAAAAUUAAAAUAUUUUUAUAAAAAUAAUUUUAAAUGUCAAUACAAUUAAUAAAUUGUAUAAUUUUCAACCUUUCAUAUACGGAUAUCUUAGAAAAUAUUAGCCCAAUUAAUUUAUUCUAAUCAUUACUUAAUUCUAAUAAAUUUAGUAAAAGGGACACUUAUUAAAAAAUAGAGGGUGUAAUUAGUUAGAUGUGUAUCAUGAGUAAUUUAAGCUCUGUUUCUUUCAAAAAAUUAUUUUCUAAUAUUUUUAGAUAUUCAAAAAAUUUAGUUGAUUAAAAAUAUUUUUUAUCAAAUAAAAAAUUAAAUCACUUUUAAAAAAAGUCAAUUUUUGAAGAAAAAAAUUAUUUUUCAUAUUUUAAAAUCUUAUUAAAAUUUAUAUAUAUAAAUUUGUGUAUAUAUUAUAUUUUUUAAAUUAAAAUUUAAUAAUAAAAAAUUAUUUUUUAAAAAAUAUUGUUUAAAUAUAAAUUAUUUUUACAAAUAAACGAGGUUUAGUGUACUUAUAUAAAAAUGUUAGCCUCGUUUGUCAACGAGAAUUGCAUUUUCUCUAAGUUCAUGCACUUCUUGUGACACAAAUUAUCAAUAUUAUUGUUACAGGCAACAUUAAAUUUCACUAUGGUAAACAGAUCAGAACGGUGAUAUAGAGUUUUAAUUCUUCCAAUCUCGAACUAAAUCUCUUUAUUUUAACUAGAAGUAAUUAGAAUCAAAAUUAAUUUAUUUUUUUAAUAAAAAAAAAUUAUUUAUAUGAAAAAUAUAAAAUUUUAUACUAUUUUAUAAUUAAAUUUAAAAUUUUAAAAUAUAAACAAAGCUUAAUUUUUUAAAAAGACUUUAAAUAAGUUAAAAUGAUCAUGGCUAAGAACUUAUUUAGCCUUCAAAAUUUAAUAAUAAUAAUUUUAUAUAAAGAAAACCUUUAUCUAACUAAAAUAAAGGAAAUCUUUAUUGUAUAUAUAUAAUAAUGUUUUACUAAGAUAAAAUAUUACAAUUUUCAACAAAACCAAAUUUAUUUCCUUAAAUUUCUAGAUAAGCUCGGGUGGACUGAUCAUGAAAUAAAUUUUUAAUAAAUACAAUAUUCAUUUUUUAUUAAUAAAUUAAUAUAGAGAGAAUUGUAGAAAUAGGAGAUUUAGCCAAAUUAAGAGUUAUUUUAUUAUAAUUUAAUAUAAUUAAUUGUUUUUUAAUUAUAAAAACUUCAAAUGAUAAAUAAAAGUGGACGGAAAAAAUAAAAUUUUUAAUAUGUGAAAAAAGAAGGUUGAAAUUAUAAGCAUAAAGGAAGAUGACAUUAAAGUUUUUUUCCCUCUAUUAUCCCAUAGAACUGAAAAAUACAAAUGGAAUUAAAUAGAAGAAAAAAAAAAUCAAUUUGGUUAUUUCGAAUUUGAAUAUGGAUUGUGUAUGGUUUAAUUUGAUUAUUUUAGUUAAAUUAAUUUUUAUUAAAAUAAAUUUUUUAUAAAUAAUUCAUAAAAGUUAAUUUUUGAAAUAAGUUUAAAUCUGCUGAUAUUUUUAUAAAUUCCACGUAACCAUGAAAAAAAAAUCAUAUUUAAUCAUGUUCUAUGAUCAAUAACUCAUUUGCACACUAAAUAUAUGGGUAUUGUAUCAUUACCCAAUAGCAUUUAAUGUGGGUGCCAACAAGGCUGGUGAUAGUUGGAGAAUAAAGGAGCGAAAAUGACUUGCUUUAUCCUAUUUGACCCGAACAAUUUGAUCCGAUUUGCUACUAUUAUUUGUAAUUUAAUUAUAUAAUUUUAAAAUAAACACAGAUUAAGAAAAAUUUCAACAACUUAAGUAAUUUUUAAAAAAAAAAAAAAAAAAAAAAAACUCUGAUUUCGACUGGACAAGUUUCCGAAUCUUGACAAAAUCCAAUACAAUUAAUACCAUGAGGCCGCUAGAUCUACAUUUAUUAAAUCCAAAUUAUGACUAUAUAAAGAAUUUUUAAAAAAAUGCUUAAUAUUAUAUGAUGUCACUAAUAAUUUGUACUCUCAUUUGCUAAUUUUAAUUGAUUUUCAAUACAAUGUGACUAAAUUGAUUAAAAUGAAUUUAAAUGUAUAAUUUCUUCAAUUGGAUUAAUAAUUCAAUGAUUAAAAGUUUAAAACUAAAUAUUAAAUAUUAAACUUUAAAAGAAUUUUAUUGAAACACAUUGUUUCUGCUUUUCUAAAUGAAAUUUAAAUUUCCUUUGUGUAAAGUUAUCAAUGAAUUUUCUUUUAUUUUAGAAGACAAAUGUAUUUUUAAAUUAAUAGCUGAGAGCACUAAUUUAAAAUUGUUAAAAAAAGUAAAUAAUUAAUAAGAAAUAAAAUAAUAAUUAAUAUAAUAAAUUUUUUUAAUUAGUAGAAUAAAGAGUGUAAAAUAUUUUUUUUUUGAAAUGGGUUAAAAUAAUUAUUUAAAAAAUAGUGAUUACAACUGCCAACUCAAAUAAUAAAUGCACAAGUAUUUUUCAAAUAUGUUGAGAAAUUAUUCAUAUAAAAUAAAUAAAUAUUAAUUAUAAUUAUAAUAAAUACUCAUAAUAAAUUUCUAUAAUAAAUAGAUUCUACACACAUAUAUAUAUUUCUGCUGUUGACUCUUCUUCUAUGAGAAUCUAACAUCUUCUUUGGGGACGACGUUAACAACUAGCAGUUUCUGUCAUGUCUAUUAUUUAAUAAGACAUAAAUUUAUUUUAUAAUUAAUAAUUAUUAUUUUUAUCCAAUUAAUUAUUUUUUAUUUUUUUAAAAAAAUUAUUAUUUAAUUUCUAAAAAUUAAUAUUAUUAUUAAUAAAUCAAUUUUAAUAUUUUUAAAAAUUUAUUAAAAUAUUUUUUAAUCCAUCAACAAAAUAAUUAUUUCAUCUAUUUCGCUAUUUAGAAAUAUAAUAAAAGAUCAAAUUAUCUUAUUUUUAUCUUAUUUUUCAUUUUUUUUUCUAGACGAUGUCUUCUCUUUUUUUUUUUAAAUAUUUUUUUUAAGAGAAAAAAUUAUUUCGUUGAUAAAAAAAACAUAUUAAUAAAUUUGAAAAAGAUAAAAANNNNNNNNNNNNNNNNNNNNNNNNNNNNNNNNNNNNNNNNNNNNNNNNNNNNNNNNNNNNNNNNNNNNNNNNNNNNNNNNNNNNNNNNNNNNNNNNNNNNNNNNNNNNNNNNNNNNNNNNNNNNNNNNNNNNNNNNNNNNNNNNNNNNNNNNNNNNNNNNNNNNNNNNNNNNNNNNNNNNNNNNNNNNNNNNNNNNNNNNNNNNNNNNNNNNNNNNNNNNNNNNNNNNNNNNNNNNNNNNNNNNNNNNNNNNNNNNNNNNNNNNNNNNNNNNNNNNNNNNNNNNNNNNNNNNNNNNNNNNNNNNNNNNNNNNNNNNNNNNNNNNAUAUAAUAAAUAAUAGGGUGUUAAUUAACAAAAUUAAUUAUUAUAAGAUAUUAGAUUUAUUUAUUUUAUAUACAUAUAAUUUUAUAUAUUAUUAUAUACAUAUAAUUUUAUUUUGUUUUCCGGUGUAUUUGUGCUUUUCAGAUUAGUAAUAUUAUUUUUAUAAUAUUAGAUUAAUUAAUAUUACUAAAAUAUUUAAAUAAUAUUUGAAUAUAGUACAUUUCUUUAAUAUAUUAUUAAGAGCAUAUAAUAUUUUUUAUUUUUAAAUGAAAAAACAAUCAUAUAAUUUAACUAAAACUCAUGGUAUUAUAUAUAUAUAUAUAUAUUUAUCUUAAUAUUUCUAUUAUAUUGAUUCCUAUUAUUUUUUAUUAUGAAAUCUACAUAAAAAAAUACGAGAGACAAAAAGUUUAAUUUAUAUGUAAAAAAGCAAAAAGAUAGGUUAGUUUUUUUUCCCUAUAUAUUCCAAAUUAUAAAUUCAUUUUUUCAAUAUAAUGAUUUAUUUAUUAUAUUUUUAAUACACUUUUAUUUAAUAUUUAAUAGAAUAUAUAAUAUAAGUGAAUCACAUUAUUAUACUAUAAAAUAUUCGGUAAAUUAUCAUUGCAAAAUAGAUUCACUGAUAAAAUUUUAGUAAAUAAAAAAUACGGUCUACUCUAUCCAGAUAUCAUAAUAUCUUGUUUAUUAUUAAAAUUCACUCUUUUCUCAAUAAAAUGAGUUUUAAUAUGAAAUUAGUGUUAACAAAUAUGGUUUAACUUAUUCAUUACACUUACUUAUUAAUCGGCGAUAUUCUUUAUUAAAUAAAAAUCACAUCAUUGUUGGAUAAUUAAAAAAUAUUAUAUUUAUCUCAACUUUUUUAUCGUAUAAAAGGAAAAAAAUUACAAACACUACUCAAAUUUUAAAUCAUGAAGUAUAUUCUCUUUAAUUUUUAAUAUAUUGAUUUAAUUGUCAGAGAUGAUUAUGAAUAUCCACCGCUACGUAACUUUCUUGUAUAUCUGCGCAAUCAAAGCAUAUUUUGAUUUUGAAUAUAUCAUUAAUUUGAUCAACGCAAUAUAAGAUAUAUUAUAAAAAGACAAUUUAACUUUAUUAUUUUAACUAUAUUAGUAAUAUUUUUAAUUUAUUUAAAAAAAUAGUCGAUUUAUUUUUAUGGCCGGGAGAGAUUAAUGAAUUUAAAGAACUACUUAUUGCUUUAUUUUAAACUUUUAAAGCAUUAAAUAGCUAUUUGUGAAAGGGCAACUCUCCAGCUAAAAGCCAAGAUAGAGAAAUUGAGCAAUGAAUGGCAGGAAUUUAAGAGUGGGAUCCAAAUUUAUGGCUGACAACAAUCCAAGUAGUUAGGAGUUAGGGUAAAGGUCUUCAAUUGAGAGAGAUACAAUAAAUCGUCGAUUGUUUCUAGCAUUUUUUUUUUUAUAAAUUAUACAUUUAAAAAAGAAAAAUUAAUAAUCAGCAGUUGGCAUUAAUUUCUUGCUUUAAUGAAGUUUUGUUGUCAGGAUAGACUACACUUAUGAUGCGAAAUUAUUUUAGAAACUACCCAGGAUAUUAGACAUUAAUAAGACCAAGUCUACUAUAUACUUCAUAUGAAAAAUGAAUUUAAUAAUAGUUAAUUCCAUGGAAAUUCACAUCUUGUCUCGUAUACAAAGAUUGAAUCUUUAGUCAGAUUAUGAACAUGUUGAUUAGUUAAGCUACGAAAGCAGUAUGGGAAAUGUAAACUUUAAAGUCCAUUACUCACUGGAAGAAGUUACACAUAUUUAACAAAAAAAUAAACUCAAAUGUCAUAUGCGGUGUCAAAUUUUGCGGGUAUGCUUAGUUUUACAAGCGAGAAACAAACUACUUGAGUUUCAACUCUUGUUGCUUUCUGCGUGGAAACUGGAAACCAUAUGAAUCUGUAUACGAUUGACCUUGUACAAUUUUCUUUUAACAAGCAAAUGACAGCCAUGAUGAUGAUGAACUUCCAUUCAUGUAUUUUCCUUUAUAAAUCAUAUAAUCUAUUUAUUAUGUUGUAUAUAAAUUAUUUUACAAAAUAUUUUGGUAUAUAAAUAAAUAAAAAUCAAAAUCUAUGUUUAAUUGGUUAGAAAAUUUUUCCCUAUCAAACGAGGGUUCUACGUCAUUCAAUCUCAAUCACACAAUUCUUCAAUACCUAUCAAAUUAACUCAUCAUCUAGAUGUUUAGCUAGAUAUCAAUAUACAAAUAUAUUCGCUCUAUCUCAUGGGAGAUUUUUGAAAGAUCUGUUUCUGGUACAUUUCCAAUUGCUGGAUUAUGUCACACCUGUUACCAGCAUUCCCUUCACAUCAUCUGCUAACAUUUCCUUAGGAACAUUUGCCAACAUUCUCAACUCUUCAACACAUGUCCUCUCCAUAUUCAUCCAUUGACUUGGAAUAAUGCCUUGCCCCACAGAUCCACCUAUUAGGUAUUAUCAAAAUAUUUAUUAUUAUUAAUAAAAUUGAUAUUAAAUAAAUAUUUGUUAGAAGUAGUCUACAUCUUAAUAAAUUAAUUCGAUACAAAUAAAAUAACAGCAGUAAUUAUGUCAAAACAAUGUUUGCAUUUAUCAACUAUCAAUUAUAAAUUCCCUACUCUUUCUCCUACACAACUUGGCCUCUUUUUUCAUUCGUUGUUAGGUUGGCUUUGUGUGUGGGAAUGCCUCAACCAACCAGAUUUUUCAGAUUAUAGGUCUGGUUGUUUUUUAGUAUUAGAUUCUAACUUAAUAAAAGUUCAAUUUAUUUAUUGUUGAAACUUAAUUUUUAAAUUUAUUUAAUAAAAGCUAGAUAUGAAAGGAUUAAAAUAUAAUUAAAAAAAUUAUUAAAUAAUUUGAAUUAAAAUUUUUUUUUUCUAAAUGGUAAAUGAAUCUAAGAAUAAUUUUACUAGACUUUUAUAAUUCGAUUUAUUAAAAAUCAAGAGUUUAUUUAUUUAUAGAUUUGCGAUUGAAUUAUAUAUAUAUUUCAUCGAUUAAAAUCAUUUAAUUAUAAGAAUAAUAGUAUUAAAAGUAAGGAGAGCUCGGAAAACUUUGGUAAAAAAACAGGAUCAAAAUCCAACCAAAACAACAAAACAAAACUUGUAACAAACACUGGAACACAGUCCCACAAACUAGGAGCAUAAUCAACAACAUAAUAAUAUCCAGGGCAAUGAAAUCUUCAUUCUUGAAAGAUCUUAAUUAUUUGGCUAAAGUUCAGGAUUUCUUCUUGCUUAUCACGAAUUCCAUGUAAAUAGUCUGUCUUCACUGGAAUUGGAAGGUUUCAAUUCCGUAUUGUAGCCACAAUUACCUUGAUUGGAGCUUGUCCAGUCAAGAAAUAUGACCCCAAUUAUAGCUCUAGCAAUGAGGCUACAUAAGAACCUGUUGAAAAAACUAGGCAAAUGGACUGCUUCUUUAGGAUCAUUUUCAUUGAAUUGGUCAGCUCCUAAGCUACCAUUUGCAGCUUCACACUGUUUUUUCUUAUCUGGUGCAACACCUUUGCAUGAUGGCCUCAGUCCAACAAAAUCUCAGUAAAUAAAAAUGAUGGCAUGAUGAAGAUAGAGAGCAGGAACAAACAAAAGAAACCAAAUUCACAUGAAGUUUUAUAAAUCUAGAUUGGGUUUCAAGGGGAGACCCGCCGGCUUUGAGUUAGUUAAAUGUCGCAUGGUCAAUUUUUCUGACAAUUAUUAAUAAAAUUUUGCUCAUUAAAGUGAAAAUGAUGAUUUAUAUGAAAAAAAAAAAAAGACUUGCCAAAGUUUGCUGGGACAAUGUAAGUGUGAAACGAAAAACAAAAAGAAACUAGAAGUUUAUUUGGGAUCUCAACCAUAUAUAAAAGCGUCUGUAAUUGGAGUUAUCCCUGUAACCAAACCAUAAGGUGAAACACAGUUCACUCUUAUA
rnacentral:lncRNA from 1 species